UGCAGUCUUGUUUCAUGCUCCACCUUUUUCUCAUUUAUUGCAUGAUUUUGGUAACUGAGUUGCAGCGUUACAAGCUGCAUCUUCACCACCAUCUCAGCUUCAACUAGAAGCAAACGCUAUACUCAGCAGUGGAUGGUGCAACACCUCUGAUCCAGAUUUCAACAUCUCUCAUUGCUGUCAAUGGCGUGGCACCAUAACGCUGGAAGUAUAACCGAAAUCACCAAAAUGCCUUUUCAUCCUGAAUCAGGUGAAUUACCUUCUUCACUAGCAAAUUUGAGUUUGUUACAACACUUAAGCUUGUUUAGCAACAAUAUUCCAGGUUCCAUUCCUAGUGAGAUAGGGUUUCUGAAAAAUCUCAUUACAUAAGACCUAUCUUAUAACAGAAUUAGUGUGCCUAGUUCAAUUACAAUUUACAAAUCUCACACAUUUGGAAGAUUUAGGCAUUUCCAAUAAUCGAUUAGUUGGUUCGCUACCUUCUAAUUUAGGUCAAUUUACCAAGUUGCGAUCAAUGAGGCUACAUAGGAAUUCCAUUAGUGGCACCUUGCCUGCUUCAGUGGCAAAUUUCACCCUAUUAGAAGAGCUUCACGUUUCGCAAAAUCUUCUCGUCGGUUACUUCCCUUCUGAUCUUCAUCGAUUAACUGAGCUUCAAGUGUUCAAACUGAAUAACAAUUCUGUUAGUGGGAACAUAGUACCCUUGUCAGGAUCGACCUCGGUCACAACCUGCUCAGUGGUAAUGUACCACCACAGGAUGGAUAUUUGCGGAAGCUGACCUAUUUGGAUCUCAGCUGCAAUAAUCUCACCGGAGCAGUUCCCGGUUUUCUCUAUCAUGUCGAUUAUGUGGACAUGUCCUAUAAUUAUUUGAAGGGUUCCAUUCCAGAUGGUGUCUCUGGUUAUGAUCUAAGAGGGAACAAGGAUGUUUGCAGUGACAUUUCUUAUUACCAAGUCAAGUUUCUGUUCCAACCUUGUUUUCCUCACAAGAAGGGAAGUAAAAAAAUAAGCAGGGUAAAGCUCAUUGUUAGUCUUCAACUAUUUGUAUCUAAGCCUUAAUCGGUUCAUGUUAAUAUGAUGAAUGCAGAGCUUGCCUAUACUAUGGCUGUGAGCAAAAAGUGUGAUGUCUAUAGCUUCAGAGUGGUGGCACUUGAAACUUUAGUGGGAAGGCAUCCUAAGGAAAUACUAUCAGCCCUUCAAUCAACAUCAAAUGAAGGCAUCACAUUAUGUGAAAUACUAGACCCACGCCUUCCAGCACCAAAGAUGAAUGUUUUAGAUGACAUAGUUCAGGUUGCCAUAGUAACAUUUUCGUGCUUAAAUCCCAAUCCGUCAUCUUGACCAACAAUGAGAUGUGUGUCUCAAUAUCUUCUUUCACAUCUAGCACCAUUAAGCAUUCCUUUACGUGAAAUUACAUUGCAGCAGCUCAUGGCUCAAAAACUCAGUGUCAUUUAGAAUUGUCAACUAUUGAAGUCGAAAUAUCAAAUUGAUGUUGGUGCUAUCCGCAUUUAAUGAAGACUUUGACCAAAUUUAUCUCCACAAAUUGUUAUGUAACUUCAUAAAGUUAUGUUUAUCAGGUAACUUAUACAUCUUCAUAAAUUAUUGUGCUCACCGCAAACACUCAAUUUAGAUUAGUGCCACUAGAUCAAUUGUGUUGUGCGUUUCAUGUGUUGGAAAGAAUUGUUUAGAACGUCUGUUUGAUGCUUUCUUUCAAUACUUGAAGAAAUUUGAAGUUUUGAACUGAAGGAGUGAAUCUAAUUUAUCUUUUAAUAGAUGACAUAAUAGCAAUAAAAAAUGAGAGUUUGUACAGCCUCUUUAACACAAGGCUCUAGCAUCAUUUAGGAUUAAUUUUGUGGUUUAGUCUUUGAUUAGUAGGCGUAGCUCUCAUGAGGACCUCCUUAGCUGUCGCCAUAGCUCUAAUGAGGGGGCCUUGUGACCUAUUUUAUUAUCACUUAUGAGGGAACUUUGAAAUUAGAACUUCACUCAUGAAUGGUACCUCCUCCUUUGAUGACACGAUGCAAUUCCGUUUUCUUUAAAAAACAAAAACAGAAAAGUGAACUAGUGCAUGUCAUUGUGCAGAGAAUGGGAUACAAGUUUCAUUCUAUGCUUGAGAUUUUAUUUUGGUUCAUUGGGUGGUGUCAAUUUUUUUUCCUAUUGUCUAUGUUGAAUAUGUAAUGCUUUCAAAAUAUGAACUAGAAAAUGACUGUUUCUAAGUUUUUACUAUGGCUUCCUUACUUGAUCUCUGGGAGACAGAUUAUACCUCAUUUAUUUAUAACUAUGGAGUCCAGCUCAUUGCAUUUGGCAUGCCAGUAACAACCAGGUCCUUACUAAGUUUAACUCAGCCUAUGUUCUGCUUUUUUACCAAAUUUUAUACAGCAGUUUUAACUAGAGUUAUAAAAUGAUUGUAUUAGGUAGGUUGCUGGUACUAUGUUGCAAGACAUUGCAGAUUCAAUUAUACAUGUUAAAUUCAAGUUAUGUGCAUUCCAAGUUUAGCUUUGAUUAAAGAAUUUGCAAGGUGGUGAUUGUAUGGUGCACCCUGUCUUAUCAUGAUGAUUAGAUUAUUGCACAACUUUAGCAUGCUAGUUUUCUGUCAAUAGCAAAAUGUAUUUUGCUAGACAAUUAUGCACAAGUUUUAUUUUAGCAAAUCAUAUCCCUAAUUUAAUGCUGCUUUUGGUCUGGUAAUACCAGAUCUGCAAUUCAAUUUUGGGAUUAGGACUGAGACUUUCUUUGUUUCUUGGGUUUUGGGGAAGCUAAAGUGAGUGAACAGUUUCCCCAAGAUGGGUGAUAGAAGACAUUUUGAAAUGAAACAUCUAAGGCCUGAUUCAAUUAUUUUCGAGAAUACCUGUACAGUGGACAUAAAUACUUUUUGAAGCAUCUAUUUUUGAAGAGGAUAGCAAUGAAUUUAUCUUUAUAAUUGUGGUUUGGCAGCCUAAAAUUUCAAAUGUCAGCAAUAUUUUCCUUACCUUUAUUCCUUUAAAGAAAUUAAGCCUUUAAGUUUUUAUGUUGUUGGACAUUUGGACUAGACUACUAACAUGGCAAUAGAGCCUUUGCAGUCUAGUUCCUUUUGAAGCAUUGUGCCUAUGCACAUAAAUUAAUCAACAUAAAUAUUUGAGAGUUUUGCAAUUUGAUACAGGAUGAAAUAAUAAGGCUCUGCUAUGUGCUAUUUUUUUGUGAAGAAAAUCAUAUAUCAUCCCUUAAAUUCUUAUAAUCAUAGACAAGUCUUCGCUUUUUAAUUAAAUUCCACCCGUGCAAUGGAAUUUUGUACAUCAAUGAAUGAAAUCCAAUCUUCUGUAUUCUGUCAGCAUUAUACAGCUGCAAACGUUCAGACAGAAUAAAUAAAAUGGCAGUGCAUAAUAGCUUAUAAGGAACAAUUUUCCCAAUGAAUUUAACAAUGGAAAAAAAAUGUUAUUUUGGUUCUUCAUGAAUAGAAUAGUAGUGUGAUGAAAUGAAGAGAGGAACAAUUCAUUUUAUAAGCUGAACUGCCCUGAUAAUAACCCUGGUGCAGGCACUGCUUUAAAUUUUAAAGAACAACAUUCGCCCAAGCUUUUCUUACACUGAACUUGGUUUUAAUUUGUUGAUGGUAAAAGCAGAGGAAGGUGAAAUGCGAUACGUAUCAGAGCAAAUUGUAAAUAUGCAUGCUGCUACAAUUAUAAAACGUGCCCCUAGGCCCUAAUGGUUUGUUCUCUACCAUUCUCUAUGUGUAGUGUUUCCCCCCUUUUCUCAAAAGUUUUAUUUUCCUCUCUAUAUAGCUUACCUCUUCUUGGAUUUUAUGCUCAAGAACCUACACCCUCACCUCAUCCUCUUCUUCCCUCGUGCUGGUAGUGUUUUCAUGGCACAAUCUCAUAAUUCCAAGGUACCAACAUGAGCUCUACACAAAGAAUCCCUUUUUAUUGAUGCUGAUACUACAUUCCAGAGCUGUAAAUCAACUCAGGAGGCAUAGAAUCAUUUUAAAGAUCCACCAGUUCUGCAAAUUGAUCUGCUCAUGGCGGCGUUGAAGUUCUGCUGCUCUUCAAUGUUGUGAAACAUUAUUACUAGUAAAAACAUGAAAAAGAAAAUGAGAAGACAGAAACAAUGGGUUUCAAUGAGGCAGAUUACCAAUUGCAUGGAUAGCUUCAACAGCAACAAUAACAUUCACAUCCUUAAUAAGCUACAAGAAAAAAUUACUAGUAAACUUUAUCAGUGACUAAGAACUACGAAGAUACAUUUGAAGAAGUAAACGUGUUCUCUAAUAUUAGAGAGUUCAAGUUAAAAAAAAAAAUGUAUUCCCAAGAUAGUUGUUGUCAUAAACUUCCCAUAAUAGUAUCCCCCAAAAAAUCUAUAUUUGUCAUGAGAGCAAUUUAUAUCUGCCAGAUAUCUACUAUAUCUUUAUUAGAGACUCAUGAAAUCACUAUUCCUAAGAAAACUUUCAAUCUGAGCCAUUGAUUCCAACUUCUAAUCCAACGGCUAUUCUAUUCCUCACCUAAUCACACCCACUACCAACUACACUCCCAUCUCACUUUUCCUCUCAUUCCAUACGCUACCACCACCAACUCACUCCCAUCAUUCGUCAGAGGUGAAAGGAGGAAGAAGCAAACUUGCAUCAACAAAAGGAUAAAUAAGAGGCAAGCUUGCCUCAAUAACCAUGAAUCCUUCUCCACCUUUGCAUCAAACCUAGAGUUCAGAACAAAGCACCUCCACCGUCCUCACUUUCGGUCGCUUCGCCGCCGUAGCUCCGGCCACGGCUCAGUGUCCCACCGCUCGCUGUGCAAUCUCUGACCAGCCACCAAUCACUUCGCCCCUUAGCUCCGACAAGCUUCCAUGGUUGGUUGUUCAUCUCCCCUUUCCUAAGAGAACUUUUUUUGUUUUUGUUCCCAUUAUUUUUUGGCCCAACUUGUCCUAGCUGGUACAUCCUAUUCAUUUUUUGUGCCUAGCUUUGGGUUGUCCCAUGUGAUGUUAUAGGUCAUCUUUUAUUUUUUUGGAUUACCACUUGUCCUUUCCCAUAAGUCUACAGGAGAAAUGAUGGAAAAUGAUGGAAGGGAAUAGCAAGAGUGUCAGAAGAGAUGAUGAUGGAAGGGGAAGGAGUGAAGGACCAAGUGUACAGUUAGAGGAUGACAAAAAAUAUGACAUAUGUUGGUUCAUUCAAACAAGAAGGAGGACAGAAGAAGGUUGAAGGAGAAGAGGAAAAUCCCAUUGUUUGAUUAUCACGUCUAUGUAGUAACCUUUCUGUGACACCCAGGGCCGACGAGGGUGGGGAGUGAUCCCCGUGUAGUGAGGCACGGACAAGGAGCGGCUCCUGGCAGGCUUCUAGGCGGAGGGACACAUGAAUGAGUCGAUCUCGCACCCGAACACGAGGUAUUCCGAGAUUGUAUAGGUACAGUUGAGGAGGACAUAAAAGAUUUGAUUGGUACUACUCAUAACAACAAGAUGCAUAACUCCAAGGUUAAGUGUGCUUGCCUUGGAGCAAUAUUAUGAUGAGUGACAUCCUGGGAAGUUUUCCCGAAAAAUGCGUGAGUGAGAACAAAGCGCAUUGAAAAGACUCAUGUUAUUACCGUGAAGGCCAGUUAUCAAAUCGGAAUGUUAAACUUUCUGUCUUAACUUGUAUUGUGGCAACGCUAAUAUGGGUGCUAUUCAUUUUAACCAACUUUGAAUUUAGUUCUAGCUAGCUACCAUAUGUCAAGUUAUAUCUAAUUGUUUGUGGCAAGGCUAAUAUGUCUGCAUUGUGUGGAUGUGCACAAAUCAUUUUUACCAUACUAUGAAAUUUAUGGGGCCGUUUAUACUUU